rnacentral:lncRNA from 1 species
UGAGAACGAACGCAAGAAACAAAGGGGAUGGGGACAAGGCUCGGGGGAAGAUUUGCCAUGCUCUCGAAGGGCACAGUAGGGGCAAAGUACUUACUGCUGCCGCUCCAUGCUGUUCCUCUUUUGUGUUUGCGAAAGCGUUUUGCAUUCCGAAUCGGGGAAACCACCAAGAACAACAGAUCAGAAGGGACAGGGAGGAAAAGAAAUUACACGGGGAAGAGUAUGCAAUCAUCAAUUGACUGAACGGGGAAAGGAGCGCAAAAACAGCAAAACAAGGGAAAGAAAAAGUGAUUGAGCCUAUUGUGCCAAUAUCUUACUACUACUCCGGAGCAGGCAGCGCGCCUCGGGUCGGGUCAGGGGAGGAAAUCAGCGGCAGCUCCUCCCCCACAGCACCCUCCUCGUCAUGAUCCCAUCCUCCUCACCGUCUUCCCCUUCAUCUUCAUCUUCCUCGUCUUCUUCCUGCUCCUGCAAUGCCAUGACUGGCCGGCGCCUCCUCCUCUUUCAACUUCACCAGAACACUGACUGGCUGUGGUGGGGAGUGAGAGGAGCAAUGCGGUGGUGGUGGUGGAAGAACCGGAUGCUCUGCCUCAGCUAUAUGGGGGAGAGGUAUCACUCGCUCACUCCCACACUCACUCACACUCUAUCCCUUGCUCACUCACUGAAGCUUGGUGCCUUUCCUCUCUGCAGCUCGCUUUCUCCACUCCACCACCUUCUCUUCCUCCUUCCUCGCCCCUUUAUGCUUUCCCCCACCUUUGACGUGAGAGGAGAUCCUCCGCCUCCUCCUCCUCCCACCCCGCCCUCCCUCCCUCCCGCUCAGCUCAGGGGCGGGCCCAGCAGCGGGCCAAGCGGGCUCCUUUCCGUUAGGGUCGCUUCUUCGCCCUCACCUUCUGCUCUUCCUCUUUUCACUCUCUCCUCCAUGCGAUGCGCUCCCCAGCUGCCUGGUUCCUGCUACCUCCUGCUCAGCAAGAAAAGGCAAGUGCGUGUGAGCGACUGAGCGUGAGAGAGCGGCUCCAACGGGAAGAAAGCAAAAGCAGGGGAAGCUAGCUAGGCCAGCCGUAGCCCGCUUUGGGGCGGCCAGAGCAACUUCUCAGAGGCGGAAAUGCUAAAGAAAUCGAAGGUGCUGGAUACAAGGACGACAUGUACAAGACCUCGCUUUAGCCCAAACGAUCAUACGCACAUGCACGCAGCAGGGGGCGGGCAGACGAGACACCACCAAAGCGGCAUGGACGAGAGCUUGAUGAAUAUCACCAAAGCAAGCACCAGAGCUGGCUGUGAACUUCGCCGGCCUCACCUGCCUGCCCGCUCUGCUCCUCGUCUUCCUCCGCUCGACACACGCUCUCAAAGGUCUCGAGACGGUGCAGUUCCUUCCUUUCUCUCUAUAUAACUGGUGCCCUUUCUGUAGCUAGGCUCGCGAUUUCUUCUUUUGAAACGUCCAAUCCACACGGCCGGAACGAACGGACGAACUGGUUCGGCUUCCCUCUCCUUUCCCUCCCAACCCUCCACUGUGACAGUGAGCGGCUUAGACGAAAUUAAAUAGGGCGCCUAGAUCUGCGGC